rnacentral:rRNA from 1 species
GGACGCUAAUACCGCAUACGUCCUACGGGAGAAAGCAGGGGAUCUUCGGACCUUGCGCUAUCAGAUGAGCCCAGGUCGGAUUAGCUUGUUGGUGAGGUAACGGCUCACCAAGGCUGCGAUCCGUAACUGGUCUGAGAGGAUGAUCAGUCACACUGGAACUGAGACACGGUCCAGACUCCUACGGGAGGCAGCAGUGGGGAAUAUUGGACAAUGGGGGAAACCCUGAUCCAGCCAUGCCGCGUGUGUGAAGAAGGUCUUCGGAUUGUAAAGCACUUUAAGUUGGGAGGAAGGGCUGAUGCUUAAUACGUAUCAGUCUUGACGUUACCGACAGAAUAAGCACCGGCUAACUCUGUGCCAGCAGCCGCGGUAAUACAGAGGGUGCAAGCGUUAAUCGGAAUUACUGGGCGUAAAGCGCGCGUAGGUGGCUAAGUAAGAUGGGUGUGAAAUCCCCGGGCUCAACCUGGGAACUGCAUCCAUAACUGCUUAGCUAGAGUACGGUAGAGGGUAGUGGAAUUUCCUGUGUAGCGGUGAAAUGCGUAGAUAUAGGAAGGAACACCAGUGGCGAAGGCGACUACCUGGACUGAUACUGACACUGAGGUGCGAAAGCGUGGGGAGCAAACAGGAUUAGAUACCCUGGUAGUCCACGCCGUAAACGAUGUCAACUAGCCGUUGGGAACCUUGAGUUCUUAGUGGCGCAGCUAACGCACUAAGUU